rnacentral:rRNA from 1 species
CUAACUAGGGACAACUUCCGUUACCCCUACUAUGUUACGACUUAUCUCAUUUCUCAACGAGAGCGACGGGCGAUGUGUGCACGCUUCAGAGCUAAAUUCAAGAAAUUUAUAUAAUUAUAUCUUUACUUUUAAGUCCUCUUUCAAUUUAAAUUUGCAUUUUUUUUCCAUAAUUAUUACUUUUAAUUGUAACCCAUUCUCACCUUCUUAUGGGCUGCACCUUGAUCUGACGUAAAAGCCUAUGUUAGUUUUAUUGCUAACUUCUAAUAUUUUUGAAAGUUACCUGACGACGACGGUAUACAUACUGAUAAACAAAAGAAGGAAAGGUUUUACGUGGACUAUCGAUUACGAAACAGGUUCCCCUAAGGAGUCUAAAGCACCGCCAAGUUCUUUGAGUUUUAAAAUAUAAUUUUCGUAGUACUCUGGUAGAAUUUUUCUAUUUAUAAUUAGAAAUAAUGGGGUAUCUAAUCCCAGUUUCCCCUCUAAAUUUCACAGCGUCAUAAUAACCGUUAUAUUUGGUAUAAAAAUAUUUAAUUAGAUUCUACCCCUAUAAAAAUUUUCUAAAUGACGAUAAUUAAUAUAUUAACUGCCUUUAUUACCUAUAAUUAACAAUUUGGUCUCUAAGUGUAACCGCGGCUGCUGGCACUUAGUUUACCAGACCUAAAAUGACUAAACUAAAACAUACUUUCGUAUAGACUUAAUUAUUCAACACUGGAGUUAGUGGGGCUUUCAAAACAUCUUAUUAUUAAUAAUAUUUUAAGUAGUAAAAUAUUUUAUAAAAAAAAUUUAAUAAAUAAAUUUACCUACUACCUCACCACCUUCUAUAAAAACCAUGUGUAAUCGCUUGUCAUUACUGUUAUUUUAGACCAAAACCAAAUCUUUUAUCAAAAACUUGUUGUAUUUUUUAAAAAAUUAAUUACWAUAGAUAGAUGUUCUUUAAAA